UCAGGACACAGCCCAGCCGGCAGCUGCCAGAGUCACUGCCUAAAGGAGGUUUUGACCGAGGAGCAGCAGAGCCCUCUGAGGGCCCCUGUGCUUCUAAAAUGAACUUGAGUUACCUGGAAAUAAGAAGCUCAACAAUUGUAACAUUCUCGGGCUGCCAGCAACUCCAUGUCUGAAGCCCAGCCUGGAUCGAGCCCUGGAGAAGCCUCGAGGGUGGGCCGAGGUGGUGGCCCGUCCAGCCCUCCUGGACAGGCCCAGUGGCUGGGACAGAGGCCUCCGAGGUGCCGGGUGUGCCGGCCCCACGAUGGUGCACCUGCCGCCACCCCGGUGAGAUGGGCAUCACCCAGGGAGGCGCAGAGAAGCCGGCAGCGCAGCCAGGACUGACACGUAAUCCCGACACCUGGGCCAUCGGCAAGAACUGUCAGCCUACUUGACCUCUUUUUGUGACAAAUCAGAUCCUCCCCCAAGAACAGACCAGUGUCUGUCAGCAUCAACCCCCACAGACACCUCUGCUGGUGUGGCAGGUGACAUUGCCACAGUGGGGCCCUGAGUCAGGCGGCAAGUCUCUGUAACAAACAGCUCCAGGAGCAGUCAUGCUAGUGGGGGGCUCAGCCUGUGCAGGCCCUGGGACCUGGGUAAAGUCGAGGUGCAGCAUCAGAGUCCGGGGCCCCUGCACCCCAGGCCAAAGGUUGCCCUCAUCCCACAGAGCCUUCCGUUGCAGCUGGUUCAGGCCCCGGGGCCAGCCGGGCAUCUCGCCCUGAAAACCACAGGCUCCGUGCAGAGGGGAACCCGAGAGAGGCCUGCAGAUGCCACACAUGAUGCUGGUGUCACAUUGAAAUAGUUUCGGCAGGGGGCGGUGGCGCACGCCUGGAAUCCCAGCACUUAUGGAGGCCAAGGCAGGCGGAUCACCUGAGGCCAGGAGUUCAAGACCAGCCUGGCCAACAUGGUGAAACCCCAUCUCUACUAAAAAUAUAAAAAUCAGCUGGGCGUGGUGGUGCACGCCUGUAAUCCCAGCUACUCUGGAGGCUGAGGCAGGAAAAUAGCUUGAGCAUGGGAGGCAGAGGUUGCAGUGAGCUGAGAUCACACCACUGCACUCCAGCCUGGGUGAAGAGUGAGACUCUGUCUCAAAAAAAAUAAAAAGAAAAAAAAGAAAUAGUUUGACCCCAGAGUCAUUCUGGCACAACCUAAAAAGCCGACUCUUUAACAUUUGAGCUUUUAAAAAUACCAAAUAACCUGGGAAAGUGACACGCUGUCCCUGUGGCCAUGGGGCCAUGUGAAGGGUGACGUGUCUUGCGCAGAUGCCCUGUGUGCGGCCCUCACUGAAGCUGCAGGGUCUGCUGCCGCUCACAGCUCUGGACUCCAGACGUCUGCCUCUCGGGACACUUGGGACUCGAUUCCACAGCUCCAGAAAACCCAGGAAACCCGAAGGCGACCUCAACACCGUUCGUUCUCUCAGUAGCAUACGUGAUAAAUGAAGUAAAAACUCCUUUAAAGCGAGGGUUUGGGGAAACAGAACUGUUGUGUCUCAGACGGCGUUAACCAAGUUGCAAUCAUUUUACAAUUGGGAAACUUUCUAAGAAAACUAUCUACACAUCUGCUUACAAAUCAAAGCCAGAGUGUUUUCUACCGUCAGGAAACUGGGAGAGGCUCAGGAAUGAGGGGGAGGCAGUCAAGAAAUCGCUAAUUAAAACCAGCGCUUUCCCACCCUUCUGGCUGGGAGGGGGCCGGGAAAGACGAGGAAGUGGAAGAGGUCAGGAGAAGGCAGUGAGUGAACAGAUUACUGUCCCAGUCUCCACCUUUGUGUUUAUGUUUGUACUUUUCCAUGAUAAAAGCUUUGUUCUGAACAUCGGCCUCCCCCGGGCUGUGCAGAGCUCCACGGCCCCGGCUACCCCAGUGGCUCCAGUGGCCGACAGGGUUGAUUCUACUCACCUGAGCAGGUGUGUCAGGCCUCUGAGCCGAAGCUCAGCCAUUGUAACCCCUGUGACCUGCACAUGUAUGUCCAGAUGGCCUGCAAGAGCCAAGAAGUCUGGGGCAACCCAAAUCUACAAAAGAAUGAAACAGCCAGCUCCUGUCUUAACUGAUUGACCAACCUUACGACAUUCCAUGAUGACCUGUUCCUGCCCUGUCCCACCUGAUCGAUCGACCUCGUGACAUUCUUCUUCCGGACAAUGAGUCUUAUGAUCUCCCCACCAUGUACCUUGUGACCCCCUCCUCUGCUGACAAUAGGUAACCACCUUUCACUGUAACUUUCCACUGUUUACCCCAGUCCUAUAAAACGGCCCCACCCCUACCUCUCUUUGCUGACUCUUUUCGGACUCAGCCCACUUGCACCCAAGUGAAUAAACAGCCUUGUUGCUCACACAAAGCCUGUUGGUGUCUCUUCACAUGGACGCACGUGACACAAAGUGCUGGGGUUACAGGCGUGAGCUGCCACGCCCGGCCCUCUUUGCUCUUUCGUACGAAUUUUAUUUUUUAUUUUUAUUUUUUUUCUUGAGACAGAGUCUUGCUCUGUCGCCCAGGCUGGAGUGCAGUGGCGCGAUCUCGGCUCACUGCAAGCUCCGCCUCCCGGGUUCACGCCAGUCUCCUGCCUCAGUUACCUGAGUAGCUGGGACUACAGGCGCCCGUCACCACACCUGGCUAAUUUUUUGUAUUUUUUUAGUGGAGACGGGGUUUCACCGUGUUAGCCAGGAUGGUCUUGAUCUCCUGACCUCGUGAUCCGCCCGCCUCGGCCUCCCACAGUGCUGGGAUUUACAGGCGGGAGCCACCACACCGGCCUUCGUAUGAAUUUUAGAACCAGUUUUUCCAAUUUCAUGAAAAAUUAUCUUAGGAAUUAUAUUAAUUUCGGGAAAACAGUUAUCUUUGGGUCCCACGUAAACACAGGGAGUGGGAAACAGUCGUGUGGCAUCUGUGGCACAGAACACAGAGACCAGGCCCCGGCGGCUCUGCCAAGCGAGGCUUCGUCCCGGAGACUCGGCGUGUGGCCUCCGGGUCACAGAAACGGCCUUCGUAGCUGUUUGAUGUCACACCAACGAGACUUCAUUCGUGUUAGCAGAACUUUGGGGACGACGUGACCCUGCGUGACAGCCGGGAACACGGGAGCCAGAUGUGGGGACAGCGGCGAGCUGGCACCCCGGAUGGAAAGCCGGACAGAAAGGCGGACAGAGCUGCAGCCACGACCAGGAGUAGCAGCAGGUCCUCGGACGAGAGGCAGCCCCCGUUCCCGGACCAAACUGAGGGUCGGGCCCCAUAACGAGACGCAGCUGAACUGGGGAGGAAGCACGUGUUUAUUUCCCCAACCGGUUACAGGGAGAAGGCCUGGACAUUAUCUCCAGACCAACUCAAAAUUACAGUCCUCCAGAGCUUAUCUACCUUCCACACGCUACGUCUACGUCUACAUAGUCUGAAGGAUCCACAGGAGCACAAUAAAGGAAGAGCCACCUGGGGCUGAGGAAGAAUCAAGACUCUUGCCACCUGUGAUGUGGAGUGCUCCGUCUCUGAAAGGUGUACCGUAUUAGCUGUGGUUAAAAACAAUUUAAGGCCAGGUGCCAUGGCUCACGCCUGUAAUCUCAGCACUGUCGGAGGCCAGGGCGGGAGGAUCACCUAAGGUCAGGAGUUCGAGACCAGCCUGGCCAACAUGGCAAGACCCACCCCCGCCCCCCCUGCCUCCCUGUCUCCACUAAAAAUACAAAAUUUAGCUGGGCAUGGUGGUGGGUGCCUGUAAUCCCAGCUACUCAAGAGGCUGAGGCAGGAGAAUCGCUUGAACCUAGGAGGUGGAGGUUACAGUGAGCUGAGAUCACACCACUACACUCCAGCCUGGGUGACAGAGUGAGACUCCGUCUCAAAAAAAAAAAAAAAAAAAAAAGAAUUUUACCAAAGACCAGCUUUAGCUGUCUGCCCAACUAAUUUUUCCUUUUCUUCUCCCUUGAAAGCAGCUUCACUAAGGCGGUGGCAUGUCACAGCUCCAUGAUACAGAGCAGGGCUGCCCCGGAGAAGUGUGCGGAGAGCAGCAGCUCAGGGCAGGGCAGCCGUCACAUUUAUACCCACUUUUAACUACAUGCAAAUUAAGAGGUGGGGCAUUCAGAAUUUCCUAGAAAAGGGGUGGUACUUCUGGGUCAUUGCCAUGGAAAGGGGCAGUAACAUCUGGGUGUUGGCAUGGCAAUGGUAAAGUGUCACAAACUCAUGGGCCUAUAGGAGCCAGCUGGCUGCAGGUGGCUGUUCUGACAGACUGGAACCUGCUUACCUGGCUAACCCUUGUCGCCUGAUAGGUCAUCCAAGGAGAGAACUUGAACCAAAAUUUGGGUAAAGCAAUCUCUGUGGCAGUUUGGUUUUAUAAAACAAGACAAAACGAAACAAAAAAAAUUGUUUUACCCUCUUUCUCUUUAGUUUCAAAUGAGUUUCCAACGUUUACAUUCUAGUUAGACCGUAAAUAACGAGUCUUCGCACCAGCAGCUUAGUAACAGCAGGUUUAAAGCAAGAAAGAAAAGAGAGGACCAGAGAGCACCUUAGAACACUGCUUAACCACAGCACAGGUUCACCACUGGAGGUCUGAAUUUUCCUCGCUGUCAUUUGCCCGUCAGCUUAAAACAUGCACAAUGGGCUGUAAUAUGUAACCAGCUGGAGUCCCUAAGAGGACGACAAAAUCAGGGGCCGGGAUGUUGGAAACUGUUUUUCCCUUUUUGGGCUGGGCCCCUGGAUUGAACAGGAAAAUAGAAAAGAAAGGAAAGCGGAGGAGAAAGGUUUGCAGCAGGGAGGAGAAACAAGAAAGGAAGGAGGGAGGCUGGCGAGCCUCCAGCCACUGCGUGGUGCGGGGCCAGCACCCCCUCACCCUUGAUCAUCUCCCAUCAGGGAAAGCCUCCGCACCCCAGACCUGCGCGGUGUGGGAUGAAUCCCUCCCACCUCCGCAGAUCACCUGUCAAGGUCAGCUGUUCGCAGCCACAGGGAGCUAAGGGUGCUUUUGACCAAGAGGAAUAACGCUUUGGUGGCGGACGGGAGGAGGACGUUGGAGGAAGGAGAGAGAGGUCAGGGUGCACACACUCAUGCGCACAAACCAACAGCUGCGUCCAAAAAACCUCCUUUAAGGGGCUCGGUUUCAAACGGCCCCUCGGGCGACUGAACCCGCACUGAGCAGAGGCCCUAGGGUGCCACAAACACAAACGAAUUCAAAUGUAUCAAAUGCCCAACUGGUGUCACUCACAGCCAAGUCUAAACAGAGGAGGGCCUCAGCCACACCCCAAAGAGGCAGAGGGUCCCUGGGUGAACUCCAACUAAGGCACCCAGUUCCAAAGUUUAUUAACUUCUCCAAAGGUCACUUCCUUUGCACCAGCAAAGCGUUGAAGGCAGCAGGAAGAGAAGGACAGGAUUCCCGGACGAAAGCAUCUCGGCGGCCACGGGGCAGCUCCUCCCAUUCCAGCCACAGGCGCAGCAGCCAGGAGCAGCUGGAACUCACAGAGUCAAAGAAACUUGAACUGUUCACGGCCUUUAAUAAUUGAGCAAGGUACUCUCCUGUGAACAAAAUUUGGAGCAUGUUUGUUUCUCUCCCUGGUUCCUCUAGAAUUUGGAAACUAUUUGUGAGUACUCUUAUGGUGAUACAGUUGGUUGCAUCAGUGCAAUAAGAAUCCAUUUUUCUUGGCCAGGCGUGGUGGCUCAUGCCUGUAAUCCCAGCACUUUGGGAAGCCGAGGCGGGCAGAUCACAAGGUCAGGAGAUUGAGACCAUCCUGGCUAACACGGUGAAACCCCGUCUCUACUAAAAAUACAAAAAAUUAGCCGGGCGUGGUGGCGGGCGCCUGUAGUUCCAGCGACUCGGGAGGCUGAGGCAAGAGAAUGGUGUGAACCCAGGAAGUGGAGGUUGCAGUGAGCCGAGAUCACGCCACUGCACUCCAGCCUGGGUGACAGAGCCAGACUCUGUCUCAAAAAAAAAAAAAAAAAAUCUCGGAUACGCUGAACAAAGACAACUAUCAUUCCCAUGCCCUCGGAGAGGGAUUUAACCGAGACAGGAGAUGGGGAGGCAGGUGCGGGACAAUCUCAUCCUAGAAAGACCGUCAGGGGGAAGCUCUUCUGGGCAGCGGCUCCUCAGGGAAGUUCUGCUGCCGCAUUCUGAUGUUACAGAAAUGCUUCCUCGCCCUUCCUGGGAGGUGGUCUAAUGCCACCCCAAACCUCCAUCACUGACAGCCUCUCAGCAUGGGGGAACUGGGUGUGAGGAAGCUGGGGAGGGCACUGGGGGAGGGUACAGGGGAAGAGGCACAGAGGGAGGACACGGGAAGAGGGUGUGGGGGAAGGACAUGGGGGGAGGGCACAGGGGAA
rnacentral:lncRNA from 1 species